AUUGAACGCUGGCGGCAUGCUCUACACAUGCAAGUCGAACGGUAACAGGCCGCAAGGUGCUGACGAGUGGCGAACGGGUGAGUAAUACAUCGGAACGUGCCCAGUCGUGGGGGAUAACUACUCGAAAGAGUAGCUAAUACCGCAUACGAUCUAUGGAUGAAAGCGGGGGACCGUAAGGCCUCGCGCGAUUGGAGCGGCCGAUGUCAGAUUAGGUAGUUGGUGGGGUAAAGGCUCACCAAGCCAACGAUCUGUAGCUGGUCUGAGAGGACGACCAGCCACACUGGGACUGAGACACGGCCCAGACUCCUACGGGAGGCAGCAGUGGGGAAUUUUGGACAAUGGGCGCAAGCCUGAUCCAGCAAUGCCGCGUGCAGGAAGAAGGCCUUCGGGUUGUAAACUGCUUUUGUACGGAACGAAACGGCUCUGGUUAAUACCCGGGGCUAAUGACGGUACCGUAAGAAUAAGCACCGGCUAACUACGUG
rnacentral:rRNA from 1 species